rnacentral:misc_RNA from 1 species
GCGGACUACUGGGGUUUCUAAUCCUGUUCGCUACCCACGCUUUCGCGCCUCAGCGUCAGUUACAGGCCAGAGAGCCGCCUUCGCCACUGGUGUUCCUCCCGAUCUCUACGCAUUCCACCGCUACACCGGGAAUUCCACUCUCCUCUCCUGUACUCAAGCCCGCCAGUUUCGGAUGCCACCCCACGGUUGAGCCGUGGUCUUUCACAUCCGACUGAACAGGCCGCCUGCGCGCGCUUUACGCCCAAUAAUUCCGGACAACGCUUGCCCCCUACGUAUUACCGCGGCUGCUGGCAC